UCGCCGAGCAAGAUGGCUGCACAUUAGAGCGGUCCAGAAUAGUCACCGAAAUAAUGUAAUAUAUCUGUCAAUAUCUCCUCAUUUACGACUAUUUCAGCAAUACUUCAGUAAUACUAGUUCCUUCGACAACUUCUCCGUCAAAUAUACAUUAUCAUGGCUUCGUCUAAGUAUUUCAAAGGUACACGUGGAAAGGCUGCCAUGGAGACUGGUGGAGCUAGCCCAAAAAGCCCUGAGCAAAAUGUUAGCUUGGACAAUCUUUUCAGUGAAGUGAGUAAAAUGAGCUCUACGCUGAACGCAGUGGCUUCGGACAUAUCAACUAUUAAAACGACUACAACGGAACUGAAAAAUGCUGUAAGUGCCAUUCAAGCGCGGCUGACUGAGGCAGAAACGCGAAUAUCCGAAGUGCAGGACACUACUCAACAGUUGGUUGGCGACCGACAGGUGCACUGCAAGCGUAUAGACCAAGCGGCAACAUUCUAAUCUGAACAAUGAAGCCUACCCGGAAGUUCGAAAAACUGCAAUACAUCGAAAAUCCGCUAGGGACUGGUCCCAAAAGCGAGCAAAUGUCCAUAGACUCCCAUGUUAAAAUGUCCGUUUUCACAGCGUAAAUACAUGUUUUUAAAGCCUGGUCCCAUGGACUUUUAUUGUACUUUUCGGCAGUUUCCCAGUGCCUGACAACUGUGAGGGGGGUGAAUUUUUUUCUAACUCAUUAGUUUAGAUCACAUUUAGAUAUAAAAUAUAUGAAUAAUUAAGGGCGUGGUCGGCUUGAUUGACGGCUGACGUCGAGGCAUACAGCAGCAGACGUUGCCAGCUGAUUGGAAACCCUGAAACUUUGACGUCUCAGCCAUGAUUAUACACAAAGUUACCACAUCCUUUCUGAACAUCUUUAUUCAAAAAGCUGACAUAAAAUGGUUUGCUAAGCUAUUAAUUGAAGCCUACUAACCGACACUUUCAGAAGACUUCGUUCCAGUUUUUUCAGUUUCCCUGUAGGUAAUCCAGACAGGCUGGGUGCUGGAGAGGGCUCUGGACUCCUAACUUCAAUUCUCGUCUGUGCAGUCGACACUCCGAAGCAUCACUUCAGCACUGAUUCCAUGAUCUGGAACAUUUUGAAAUCCUACCAGAUGGGGCAGAAGUCAUUGAGCAGUGGCAG